GCGGGGGUAGCCAAGCGGUCAAAGGUGCAGGGCUUAGGACCCUGUGGCGAAGGCCUUCGUGGGUUCGAAUGCAUUUUGCAGGCAUCUGCAUGUGCAAGAAAAUCCCACCCCCCGCA
rnacentral:tRNA from 1 species